CGUACAGGUCUCCGUAGGUGAACCUGCGGNNNNAUCAUUACAAGAACGCCCGGGCUUCGGCCUGGUUAUUCAUAACCCUUUGUUGUCCGACUCUGUUGCCUCCGGGGCGACCCUGCCUUCGGGCGGGGGCUCCGGGUGGACACUUCAAACUCUUGCGUAACUUUGCAGUCUGAGUAAACUUAAUUAAUAAAUUAAAACUUUUAACAACGGAUCUCUUGGUUCUGGCAUCGAUGAAGAACGCAGCGAAAUGCGAUAAGUAAUGUGAAUUGAGAAUUCAGUGAAUCAUCGAAUCUUUGAACGCACAUUGCGCCCCCUGGUAUUCCGGGGGGCAUGCCUGUUCGAGCGUCAUUUCACCACUCAAGCCUCGCUUGGUAUUGGGCAACGCGGUCCGCCGCGUGCCUCAAAUCGUCCGGCUGGGUCUUCUGUCCCCUAAGCGUUGUGGAAACUAUUCGCUAAAGGGUGUUCGGGAGGCUACGCCGUAAAACAACCCCAUUUCUAAGGUUGACCUCGGAUCAGGUAGGGAUACCCGCUGAACUUAAGCAUAUCA
rnacentral:rRNA from 1 species